rnacentral:rRNA from 1 species
GAGUCGCAUCUUGGACGAGGGAGUCCUUCGGGAGCGCAGAUCAGGUGGUGCAUGGCUGUCUCCAGCUCGCGUCUCGAGAUGUUGGGUUAAGUCCCGCAACGAGCGCAACCCACUUCUUUAGUUGCCAGCAUUCAAUUGGGCACUCUAUAGAGACCGUCGGUGAUAUACCGGAGGAAGGUGUGGAUGACGUCAAGUCAUCAUGCCCCUUACAUCCUGGGCUACACACGUACUACAAUGCUACGGACAAAGGGCAGCAAACUCGCGAGAGCAAGCAAAUCCCAUAAACCGUGGUUCUCUUCAGAUCAUAGUGCUGCAACUCGCCUACGUGAAGGAGGAAUCGCUAGUAAUCGCAGGUCAUCAUACUGCGGUGAAUACAUUCCCGCCGUCUUGUACACACCGACGAGA